UCGAGCGCUGAAGCCCUUCGGGGUGGAUGAGCGGCGAACGGGUGAGUAACACGUGGGUAAUCUGCCCUGCACUCUGGGAUAAGCCUGGGAAACUGGGUCUAAUACCGGAUAUGACCGAUUCUCGCAUGGGGGUUGGUGGAAAGUUCCGGCGGUGCAGGAUGAACCCGCGGCCUAUCAGCUUGUUGGUGGGGUAAUGGCCUACCAAGGCGACGACGGGUAGCCGGCCUGAGAGGGCGACCGGCCACACUGGGACUGAGACACGGCCCAGACUCCUACGGGAGGCAGCAGUGGGGAAUAUUGCACAAUGGGCGAAAGCCUGAUGCAGCGACGCCGCGUGAGGGAUGACGGCCUUCGGGUUGUAAACCUCUUUCAGCAGGGACGAAGCGCAAGUGACGGUACCUGCAGAAGAAGCACCGGCUAACUACGUGCCAGCAGCCGCGGUAAUACGUAGGGUGCGAGCGUUGUCCGGAAUUAUUGGGCGUAAAGAGCUCGUAGGCGGUUUGUUGCGUCGGCCGUGAAAACCUGGGGCUUAACCCUGGGCCUGCGGUCGAUACGGGCAGACUUGAGUUCGGUAGGGGAGACUGGAAUUCCUGGUGUAGCGGUGAAAUGCGCAGAUAUCAGGAGGAACACCGGUGGCGAGGGCGGGUCUCUGGGCCGAUACUGACGCUGAGGAGCGAAAGCGUGGGGAGCGAACAGGAUU
rnacentral:rRNA from 1 species